UACGACCAUUUCAUGUUGAAACACCAGUUCCCCUCCGAUCACCAAAGUUAAGCAAUGUUGAACCUGGUCAGUACCUAGAUAGGUGACUGCUUGGGAAUACCAGGUGUUGUAA